GACGAACCGUGCAAACGUUAUUCGGAAUCACUGGGCUUAAAGCGUGCGUAGGCGGCUGAGAAAGUUGGGUGUGAAAUCCCUCGGCUCAACCGAGGAAUUGCGCUCAAAACUACUUGGCUUGAGGGAGUUAGGGGUGAGCGGAACUAAUGGUGGAGCGGUGAAAUGCGUUGAUAUCAUUAGGAACACCGGUGGCGAAAGCGGCUCACUGGGACUCUUCUGACGCUGAGGCACGAAAGCUAGGGGAGCGAACGGG
rnacentral:rRNA from 1 species